rnacentral:rRNA from 1 species
UACGUAGGGAGCAAGCGUUGUCCGGAAUCAUUCGGCGUAAAGCGCGCGUAGGUGGCCCCAUAAGUCCGCUGUGAAAGUCAAAGGCUCAACCUUUGAAAGCCGGUGGAUACUGUGGGACUAGAGUACGGAAGAGGCGAGUGGAAUUCCUGGUGUAGCGGUGGAAUGCGCAGAUAUCAGGAGGAACACCAAUAGCGAAGGCAGCUCGCUGGGACGUUACUGACACUGAGGCGCGAAAGCGUGGGGAGCGAACAGG